UACUGUAAAUUCAGAAAUUAUUGCGUGCAUUUAUUAUUGCGAUUUUGUCAUUUUAGACUUAAAUGCGAUUUUAAUAUUUACGAUUUUGAGAAAAAUCCUGUCAAAUUCAUAUAAAAUAUUUCAAAAUGCGAGUUUAAAUUAUUGCGUUUACAACUCAGUCGCAUUUUUCGCAAUAAUAAAAACCUCGCAUUAAUUUCUGAAUUUACAGUAUAGACA
rnacentral:lncRNA from 1 species